CCAUAGUCGCCACAAAUCGUAUUUUCCAUUUUUUUUAAAAAUAGCAGCAACAAUAUUGCACAAAUGUAUUAGCCGAGCAACCCAAUAGCAUUAGAUGAGACAACAUUAAACGCAUUUCUCAAACAAAAUAAUAUAGAAAAAUUCUAUUAAUAAUUCAUAACAUAACUAAUUGUACUCAUGAAACAAAAAAAUAAAAGCAAAAUAAGAUUUCUUCAAGUUCCGCCUUCGCCUUGGCUAGUAUCAUUUUCCCUUGAAGUCUUGAGACUCUGCACAAGCUCAAGCCGUGAACUCAGAAUCCCGUGCCUCGAAAAUAUCUCUGCAAUCACUUAAUUUUUGCAAGCACAAUGUAUAAUUUUUUUUUAUUUUUAUUUUUUGAUAAUCGUGGUGUCCGGGCCAGCUUGCGCGCACCUCGACUAAUUCCACGGGAUACCUGCCACCUCCCACCAGCAACAACUACCAGGUAACUCUAUCCACCAAGGCUUGAAUAAAUGGGAAAAAAUCACCUAAUAUUUGCCUCCGCUGGGAUUUGAACCUGAGACCUCAUGAUUCUCACCCACUUUAUUGACCACUAGGUCACACCCUUGGGUGCCACAAUGCAUAAUUACUUUACCAAAAAUUUCAGCUAAGGGAAAAAAAAAUGCUCCAUUCUAGUCUGAUAUAUGCCCAUUGAAAAUCUAAGGGUCGUUAAAGUCAUGUAUAUGCCCAUCUAAAAUCCACAUAUCUAAUAGAUACCAAAUUGAAUAGCUAUCACCACAUAUAUCUAUCACUGAAAACUAAAUGCCCUUUCUGUCAAUUUCCUCUCAUAAUGACCACAGUAAAGCUCCUUCAUGAACAAGUUGUCAACAAUAAGGUUAAAAAAAUAAUUAAAUGCCAAUAAAAUAAGCUUAUUAUUAAGCUAAGAAAUUUAAAAGUAGCACAUAAUUUUUUUUUUCACAAGUAACCAAGAAUAAAACCAUGAUGAUCCAUAUAUGUGGAACUUCAACUUUAAGAAGUAUUAAGUAUGCUAACCUCUGUUGCGACCUUUUUUGUCUUACAUAACCUUAUUUUGUUUAACUGGAGCCAAGAGCAUUAAGCAAAAGGUAUUAUUGUCAGAUACCUGUGAAAGAGGAGGAAUUGUUUCCUUUAAGAUUACCAAACCCAUAGUAUGUAGUAGCUGUAAAGAAUAGCUUCGAAUACAUCCCACCGCAAUCCCUUCUAAAUAAUUAAAUACUGCAACAGGGUAUUAAGGUAACAAGGGCAAGGCAAAGUGAAAAUAUCAUUUUACCUUGAAAUUAAGGAAGAAGAUCCAAAACUCCCUAGAUGAAGGAACACCUAUGUAUCAGCUUGCUAGACUUAUUUCCUCAACAACUCUAAGUAUCAACUUUCUAGACUAUUUUAAUUCAAUAUUUUCUUGCAGGAUAGAAAAGCACCCUAACAUUCUUUCUCAAAUCUAUGACCGAUGAAUUUAAUUUUUAAGCCAAGCACAUAUACCAUAUUAACCUUAGCAUCUGAGUAACUUUUAAUCUGCAAUAUCCUCGUAACAAAGUCUUUAUAUCUAAGCAAGUAUAAAUCAUUUAGAAGCGUGGAAACUGUACUUCUGCUUCACCUUUAUCAUAAUUUCAGUAAUCAAAAUGGACAUAGGCACUUUCUUCUUACACCAUAUUUUUGUAACACUCCUGUACAGAAGAGCAUAUUCUUGUUUAAUUACUUUUAAUAAUUAAUACAAAAUAAAUUGUCUAAACCCUAGCCUUCGAUAUCUCUUUUCCAAUUGUGUACUUCUCAAUACUGAAUCAGAUACUUUUGUGAGUUCAACAUUUUCCUCACAUUAAUUUCAAUAAAAAUAAUAGUAUACCAAACAUGCAAUCACAAUAAUCGCACAAAAAUGUCUCGAAUCUCUAAAAGAAACUUUCACCGUAUCCGGAGAAAGAGAGAGCUGAGAAACAACUAUUAAGAUAGAAUCACAAAAUAGGCAAUCCGCCGAUUCCUCACAGAUAAGGGCUUUACAUGACUUUUCUUGUAAUGAAUUUCUUUCUAUUCCUGUAGAUUUUCAAACGUGUCACUUAACUUAAAGGCAGAAUUAGAUUUUCAAGGCUAACUGCAUAUAUCACCGAAAAAGAUUUUGGGAUUUGAGAAAAUACCUGAUGGAGUCACAAUUAGUGAUUAAGGAUUUUGGUGUCUAAUAUAUGAUUCACAUUUUGGGAGCGGAAUUUGACAAAUUUGAGAUGAGAGAAAAUGGAGAACUUUCGAGAGAGAGAGACGGAGCAAAGAAACAUAUGGAUGUGAUUCCUUCUUUUCAAUUAGGGCUUGUUUAGUUUUUUUUUUUUCAAAGCCGAGAUUUAGAGGCGGCCUAGGCGCCAUAGAAGCCCUUCAGAGGCAACUACUUAAAUGGGUUGCCACUAAAACUUUGGAGUCAAAAAAUUUUAUUAGUGAGAAUGAAAAAUUUAGCACAUAUUAGUGGCGACCUAAAUAGAGUCUCCACCAAUAGUGUACCUACUGUAGCGAUAACAAAUGUCGCCACAAUAGUUUAACUUUUGUGGCAAUAAUUAAGCUCGCCGUUAAAUAUUGUCGCAAAAAG
rnacentral:lncRNA from 1 species